UUAAUUUUAGUGAAAGUGUUGGGUACCACCUUAACAUGCAGUUAUACUGAGCAUGAUAGUAUUUUUCUACUUAGUGUAUUUAUGUGAAUGUGUGAUGUUUUUAUUUCAAUGUAUUUGCUUGUUUGUAUUAAUUUUAGUUAUUUUUAUAGUCCAUGAAAUCUUUUAAUUGAUAUUGAGUUUAUACUUAGUAUAGAGAUUCUUAUUUUAAGGGGGUCGUUUAAGGAGAUUUGCUUCUUAGUUUCAAAAUAACAAGAUUUUCAUAACACUCUUAUAUAUUGAUAGGGGAUUAUUAAAGGAACUAGAAGAGUAAAGCAAAAAUAUAGGUCUGUCAAUGUGCUUGUUUCUGUCAAUGUGCUUGUUUUGAGCCAUUGGAAUUUUAGCGGGAAAAUGUUCCUCUUGAUUUUUCAUAGCUUUGUCAUAGACAAGUUUGAGUUCUCAAAAACCAUUAAAAAAUAACAAAUAUUAUAUAAUACUUUUACAGAUGGGUCAUGAUUAUACAUGUUAAAGAUUUAUAAAUAGAAAAAUGUGGGUCAAUGGGCCAACCUUACUUUUAUGCAUUCAAAUGGAUAACCCAGAGGAAUCCCAAAAUAUGACAAAAAUUCCAAAACAUGGCAAGCGAACAUCCUUAAACAUCAUAUUUAUAUGCCUAAACUUUUGACUAACAUUUUUUUAGCGUCAGUUAUUGCUUGUAGCUACUUGUAAUACAAUAUUAGACAAUCUGUUCAUAUUUUCAUUUGUAUUACAAUUGAAGUGACAAAUAUUGCAACGACACAUACAAAUGACAUAUCUUAUUAAUUUGAUUAUUUUGUAACUAUUAUUUCAGUUUUUGGCACAACAUUAAAAAAAAAGAACUUAUAAGAAAAUAUAAGCUUUUUCAAGCUAUGGAAACAUUCUCAAAAAGAUAAAAUAAUAUGGGGAAGUUACUUAUAAAUAUGAGAUGUACAUUAUGCUUAAAAGAUGGGACUACAUAUUUUAAUGAAUGAUUAACACUGUAUGAAAGAUCCUGAUUUUUACACAAAGAACACAUAUAAAAUUAAUUCAAGGUAGAGGUUUGAUUUGAAGUCCAUGGGAGAAUUUUUCCUAAAUUUACCCCUAUAUUGCAUUUACCCUGUCCAUCUGUUCAUUGGAUAAAUAUUUUUCAUCACACUUUUCUCAGGUACUACUUCAUGGAGGGAUUAUCAUAUUUUGUCAGCAGAUUGAAUGUCAUGAGUUGUGAUGUGAAUGCUUUUCAGUUCUGUAAGACUAACCUCAUAUUUGCAAUUCUUUGAAUAACAAAGUUUUAGCAUAACACCAUAUGUUCAAAUUCUUGUAACUCUUUAGGUUUUUACUGUGCAUUUUUGCCAAUUUGUCGUUAUCAACUUUGUUAACCACUUUUAUGUACACAAGACUUAUUGAAAGCAAAUGAACAAAAUCAACAUUAAAGCAAUAUUAAAGAAUAGGAUAUGUAUCAUAAUUAUUAUUAUAGUUUUUGCAAAGUAAAAUAUGUCUAAUGCUUAAUUACUUCUAUAUACUGCAUGUAUUAGAUUAUACAAUUAUACUUUUUGGCAUUGGUCUUUGUAAGAUUCUGAAAGUGGUUCACAUGUAAUCCCCUACGGCAUUUUGUGUCGGAAAUUAUACCUGGCCAUAUUAGAAAAUUUCUCCAGAGAAACAAAAUUCCAAAAGGGAUUAGCUUAAACAUUUGAUACCCCAUUCCUUCCUUACAAAUGCAUUGAAAUUAGAUGGUAGCAAUUUACACCAAUUGCAUUAUUUCAUUUUUGGCUACUAAAAAUGUUAAUAGUAUAGAAACAGUACAAUUGA
rnacentral:lncRNA from 1 species